GGGCUCAUGGCGCAAUGGUCAGCGUGUCGAGUUUCUAAAAUUUCCCCCUCGAAGGUUGCGAGUUCAAGUCUCGCUGGGCCCU